UCCAUCACCGCACCCUCAACCAAUCUUUUUCUUCCAAAUAUCAUCAAUUUUGGACGUGAUUCAUGGCUCUUCUGCUACGUGUUCUUCUCCGCCUCUUCGAGAACACCACCACCGCCUCUGCUAUCUCCACCUGUUUGCCUCUCGAUUGAAUCCUUUAUCGUCUCUCUCUUUCGACUUUUUCUACCAUUCUUCCAAAGGAUCCCGCUUCCAACGAUGCCCUUUACUACCUGUUCUUCAUCGGGUUACCGUAACUCUACUUUGGUCACUGCCUCCGGAUCCUUCCCCACGGUCGGCUCCGCCGCUUCUGACCAUUCCAUUCGUAAUCGGUGGAGCAAAAACAGAUCAGACAGGAAAACGAAGAAAUCGCCAAGGCCUUUGUCGUGCAGUUGUGGCUUCUCGACUCUCAUCCACGACCUGUAACAACCCUCCCUUAUUUAUUGUGUAUCCAGUGGUCUUUGAUUAAGCAGGAGACAACCAAUGAACGAUUAUUUGUAAUUACUGAUGAAGUUAUCGAUUGGUGCCCUACCCCUCUAAUCAGAUAAGUUGCUAUUAUAGAUUCUUCUUCAGUUUCAGUUUUUAGAUGUACACAAAUAUGGCUGAACACGAUGGCAAAGAAAGCGGACGGACGCCCAUAUGGGCUCUCUCUCACCGUUAUUCUCUCUCCCACCGCCAUUAUCCUAUUUCACUGCUUCUUACCGGAAAAGAACGACCUAUAAAGCCGAUUUUGACAAGGAACCAACAACAACCAGCAACACAUAUCAACACUAUGCUGGUGGUGGUGCGACGACGUUGGCUGCCGAUCGCAGUGGCUGGAGGUGAUGUUCGGUUGAACUUUCCUUACCGGUUGAAAGGCUGCUGUGGCGACCCUUCAAGAUGAGUCGUAAGAAAUUGAGAGGAUGAAACAAAACAUCAUUGUUCCUCAAUUUCCUGACUACUUUCGACAUUGAAAUAAUCAACAGGUAUCCUCGCCUAAUUUCUGGAUGAUUUCAAGAUUUGGAUCGAACUAAGUCUUUUCUUUCUCAGCGCUCAUAGGAAAUUGUUGGGUUUUCUAAUUUGUGUUCCAUUUUUUUACGAAAAUCAUAGGAGAGAGUUCUGAAGUGGAAUUGUGGCUAUGGUUAAUUCUUCUGUUCAGAAAUCUGAAUAAUUUGAGGAUGCACAUCAACUGUUUGAUGAAAUGCUUCAAAGAACCGGUGAGGGCAUUUUAUAUGAACAAUAUUCCAGAGAACACAUCAAUAGAGCAUCUCAGGGCAUUAUUUCAAUGGCAGUUGGCAAACAGAAGUUUAGAUUUGUUCAUUUUGCAAAAAGGUCUAUUAUUCUUCAUUAUAUUGGAUCUCAUCUGAACCGCAUCUCUCAAAAUGUUUAUGGUGGUUUUUCAGCAAAUUCGUCUUCAAAAGAGUUUUCAGAGGCUAUGCUACAAAGCUUUUCAUGAAGAUGCAUUGCAUAUUAAUAUCAUACAACCACAUACAAUUAACACAACACAAACCUCUCCAAGCCAUAAUCCGCAGUAAAACCUAAUUCUUUGUGUGUCCCUAUUAGGCAUCCAAUCACUGAGCAAAAAAGGGGAGAAUAAAAGAUUGAUAUUCUUUAACAUGCUUAUGUUGGAUUGUUGAGGUCAGAUUAUCACUUAAAAUUCCGUUUUCUGCAUGCUAAUAUUGUGAUUGCAGUUCAAAAUUUGGACUAGGUUUCACCUAAUUCGAAUAAGAAUAUAUCCGGAACAAAAUCUGCCUUUUACAACACACCUGCUCUUAUUACAUUCUGUUUCCCCACAAAGGCUGCACUACAGGAGGUGUAUUAAACCCCACUUAUGUCCUUUGAAAUCCUAUCAGAUAAGCCACACAAAAGUACACUUGGUCUUCUAAGUUAUUAACCAUAGAAAAGAACUUGAUAAAUCAACUUUUGGCUAAAUGCAAUACAUACCAUUGUACUUUUAUUUAUUGGUGUAUUAUAGCAUCCUACUUUCAUUUAUUUUCCUUAUUAAGGCAUUUUACGUUAACAAA